GACGGAGGGUGCUAGCGUUGUUCGGAAUGACUGGGCGUAAAGGGCGCGUAGGCGGCCAUGUUAGUCGGGUGUGAAAGCCCGGGGCUCAACCCCGGAACGGCAUCCGAUACUGCGUGGCUCGAGACCGGGAGAGGAGGGUGGAAUACCGAGUGUAGAGGUGAAAUUCGUAGAUAUUCGGUGGAACACCAGUGGCGAAAGCGGCUCUCUGGCCCGGUACUGACGCUGAGGUGCGAAAGCGUGGGGAGCAAACAGG
rnacentral:rRNA from 1 species